ensembl:lncRNA
UCUCCAUGUAAUGGAGAUUUACGUUGAGAGCCUGUUAUUAUGUUACGACUCCAACCACCCAAGACUUUGUAUACCGGUAAAUGCCCUUGUCUUUCUCUCUCCCACAGGGAGGAGAAGAGGACUAGAAUGUGUGUGCACGAGCCAGCCAGGUUCUCGACUCCCCCGGCACCGGAUUGAAGCUGUGCACAACCUCUCGCCUAGGACUGAGGCUCGACAUGGCCAGUUCGCCAGGAUGGUACAUAACAGAGCGUCGGAGGUGACAUGGUGGCCCGCUGUUAAAACCAAAGGAACCGCCGUUGUCUGCCAACACCAGGGUUGGAGAGACCCCAGGGAGAUGACUGACACCCGAAGCUGAGCCCCCGCACUGCUGUCAAUCAAAAACCUGCUGCUACUCCAAAAGGUCUUCAGGGUCCUUGGUGCUGUAGAAGUAGUGGGAGGCUAGCGGCAGACUCUCUGGGCAUUAGUGUGAAGCCUCUUCUCUGCUGCAGUGGAGGGCUUCACGCAGACGGCUAGUCUGGCUGGAUGCAUCACGCGGUAGAGCAAUUUGGCGGGCGUGGCACACGGGAGCCCUUCCCUCUGGACGGACUCAACAGGGGGCCAUGGGCUCCCGUCGGCAGCCGCCCCUGGCCGCCGCCCACCAGGUGUUCACCUGGAAUGAGCCAACACCAGCUCCUCCCCCAUCUACCUCUCGGCCCAAUGGGCGGACUGAACCACCCGAAAUAUUUCAAUAAUGGACCCAUGCCGGUGCGGGGAGGAGACAAACUCGACCUCCCCCAACACGCCUCGCUACCGGGCAUGCAGCGGGAGCAGCCGAGAGCCCCUCCGCCUCACCCCGCGCACCACCACC